AUGACUGCCGGCGCCGGGAGCGCGGGCGCGUUCCGGCGGGCGGUCGACAGGGCGUGCGCGGCCGCCAGGGGGGCGCGGCGCGCGCUGGCGCGGUUCGCGCCGCGGCCGUCGGCGUUCGGCGCGGCGGCGGACGCGGAGGCCGCGGCGGUGCGCGGGGUCCGCAACGCGCGCACGUUCCGGUACCACUACGCCUCGCUGCAGUGGGCGCUCCUCCUCGCGUCGCUGGCCGCGGCGGGGCACCGGGCGUCGGUGCUCUUCCUCAUGGCCGCCUCCAAGGUCCUCCUCGUCUGCCUCGGCCUCCUCGCGCCGUUCCCGCGCUUGGCGCUGCUCCGCCGGCUCGUCGCCGCGGCGUUCGUCGCGCUCGUGCUCGCCGACAUCGCCGCGGCCGGCGCCGUGGCCAACCUCAUGGCCGCGCUGGCGGUGGGCGUCCCGGUCAUCGUGCUCCACGCCUCGUUCCGCGUCCGCGACGACCUCGAGGGGCCCUCCACGGAGAACGGCGAGGAGGAGGCGGCGGUCGUGGAGAAGAGGGAGGACGGCGAUGCCGAGGCAGGCCCCACGCGGCGGUCCACGGCGGUGGCGCCACGAUCGCCAAAAUGA
rnacentral:rRNA from 1 species